GUGUUGGCCUGGGCAGCACAUAUACUAAAAUUGGAAUGAUACAGAGAAGAUUAGCAUGGCCCCUGCACAAGGAUGACAUGCAAAUUCGUGACACGUUCCAUAUUUUU
ensembl:snRNA U6 U6 spliceosomal RNA